AGAGCAUUCUCGUUGAUUCACCAAAACAUUUACUAUUAUUUUUUCUAUUGAUUUAUAUUUUGAAUUUUAAAUUGUAAAAUCAAAAGCACUUUCUCAAUUGAGUUGCUAAAUCCCUAACCCCAUUAUGUCUCGUUCCCAAAGACGACGAUUCAAUGUUUGAACCCAAUUGAUCAUGUGAACACUCAGAACAAAAUCCAAACAAAAUCAAAUCUGUCUAAACUUUCCCAAUUAUGUUCAUUCUCCACCGUUUAAUUCUUUGUCCCUUUCGUCGGACUCCAUCAAAACCAAAACCUUUAAUCAUCUUCUUUGUCUAAAGCACUUCGUUUCUCGCCAGCUCGUGCUCCGUAAGAUUACAGUUCUUCGCAUCACAGUCGCUCAUCUAUCGCCGACGGGAUGAGCUCAGACCAGAUUGAAGUUCUUAAUCUUGCCAUAAGGUAUGGUUUCAUAAGUCAAGGCUUUAAUCUAUAGGAUUUGAUAUUUCCGUCUUUAAUUCCUCUAUGGAUGGUUGGCAGUGUGGUCGUGAGAUUUUUUGUCUAUAUGAUUUGAGAUCUGAGUCUUUUAAAUCCAUGUGUGUUUCAUUCUUGAAGUAUAAUUAGUGAUUUGGACAAAAUGUACAUGUGUGUUCCAUUAUAUAGGUGAAGCUGCAGUGGUUUGAGCUUGGUAUCACCAUGGAUGAAAGCUUGAUCAGAUCUGCAAUAAGAAUGAUGAAUUUACAUAUUUGGUCCUUAUAUUUAUGUAAGUAUUUGUUUUCACCCUUAAUUUUUAAAU
rnacentral:lncRNA from 1 species